GGAAGUGUUUGCACCGCUGGUGCGGGCCGCGGUCUUCAAAGCCGUUGGGACGUCGGUCAACCUGGCGUCCAGUGGGUUCGAUUCCCAUACACUUCCGCCA
rnacentral:tRNA from 1 species